GUGCUUCUGGGGGGAAAGCCAUCGGGGUGCAAAAGUGCUUAUAGUGCAGGUAGUGUGUUGGCAUCUACUGCAGUGUUGGCACUUCCGUGCCACGAUGGCGAUGCGCGUCAGGUGCAAC
rnacentral:pre_miRNA from 11 species